rnacentral:lncRNA from 1 species
AGUGCGCAUGUUCACUGGGCGUCUUCCCAUCGGCCCCUUCGCCAGUGUGGGGAACGCGGCGGAGCUGUGAGCCGGCGACUCGGGUCCCUGAGGUCUGGAUUCUUUCUCCGCUACUGAGACACGGCGGACACACACAAACACAGAACCACACAGCCAGUCCCAGGAGCCCAGUAAUGGAGAGCCCCAAAAAGAAGAACCAGCAGCUGAAAGUCGGGAUCCUACACCUGGGCAGCAGACAGAAGAAGAUCAGGAUACAGCUGAGAUCCCAGGUGCUGGGAAGGGAAAGUAUGUCUAUGGGGCGGGAGAAGGUCUAUGUGUGCAUUGUGGCCUAUGCCAUGAGCAGUAACAGGAGCAAAGAGAACAUUAGGAAAAGAUACCAAACAUUUGCUCAAAGUUGGCUGGAAAAGGGAGAGUAUAGUUUGCAGCUUCAUGCUGUCCCUGGAUAUAAUGAAUCUUCUCUUGUUCUUCGAGAUGGAUUUUGUAUGCUUGAAAAUACAGUCCUUACUAAAUCACUUGAAACCAUUUAAUUUGGU